rnacentral:lncRNA from 1 species
GUUAUGGAUCUAUUUAAAGUGAUGUUCCUGCAGCUUGUUGUUAGAAAUUGCUGGAGAAGAAAGUUGCCAUCAUUGCAGAGCAAUGCAUUCUAACAUUAAGCAUUUAUAUCACGGCUGAUGGAGAAAUGGCAUGUUCAAUUUACACUCUAUUUAUCUUCCAGUGGAAGGAACUAAAUGAGUCAUUAUGAAGACACUCAUUACUGGCUGUUUCACUUAAUGGCUCCAUGAAAAGAUGUAUCAAGGGCUACAAACUUUGUGACCAAUGAGAGAGUGGAGAAAUAAUGAGGUAAACUUGCCCAAUCUUUAGGCAGAUAAAAAUUCCAAUAAGCCACAGUAGGGGGUGAGUGUAGAAAGCAUGUUUCAAUGUUCUUGUCACAUACUUGUUUAGACACUAUUGAGUGUUAUGUUUCUGUAAAACAUUUCAAUCUAAUAACAGAUGUAAUAAAUGUAUUUUGACGCUUAUUUAAGAACACUGUUUCUUCUCUUGACAGUAUAAUGUAAAGAUGUAGAAUGGGAAACCCUCAGACAGAUUCAAGCUAUUUAAUUUCGGAAAUGACAUUUCUUCACAGUUCUUCCAAGAUAGCAAUUUAUGUCAAUCAUGCCGGAACCCCUUCUGCCAAUGACAAUGUCAAUGGACUUGAAUUUCCUAUUGACUUUGGGGUGAGAGGGCUAUCUCUUUGACUCUUCUGAGUGGUACCUUUCACUAUCAUAUAGAAAAGUUUACUUCCCAAGGAAUUUUCCUUGUGAUCUCAAACCUAAUCUGACCUUCCUUUUAUAG